rnacentral:rRNA from 1 species
CAGUCGCCACGGUAAAACGUAGGUGGCAAGCGUUGUCCGGAAUUAUUGGGCGUAAAGGGCUCGCAGGCGGUUUCUUAAGUCUGAUGUGAAAGCCCCCGGCUCAACCGGGGAGGGUCAUUGGAAACUGGGAAACUUGAGUGCAGAAGAGGAGAGUGGAAUUCCACGUGUAGCGGUGAAAUGCGUAGAGAUGUGGAGGAACACCAGUGGCGAAGGCGACUCUCUGGUCUGUAACUGACGCUGAGGAGCGAAAGCGUGGGGAGCGAACAGGAUUAGAUACCCCAGUAGUCCCUGUCUCUUAUAC